rnacentral:rRNA from 1 species
UACGUAGGGGGCAAGCGUUGUCCGGAUUUACUGGGCGUAAAGAGCGUGUAGGCGGCCAAGCAGGUCCGUUGUGAAAACUGGAGGCUUAACCUCCAGACGUCGACGGAAACCGCGUGGCUAGAGUCCGGAAGAGGAGAGUGGAAUUCCUGGUGUAGUGGUGAAAUGCGCAGAUAUCAGGAAGAACACCAAUGGCGAAGGCAGCUCUCUGGGACGGUACUGACGCUGAGACGCGAAAGCGUGGGGAGCGAACAGG